GAUGAACGCUAGCGGCAGGCCUAAUACAUGCAAGCUGAACGGUAAAUAUUGUAGCAAUACGAUAUGAGAGUAGCGUAAGGGUGCGUAACACGUAUGCAAUCUGCCCCGUACAGGAGGAUAGCUCGGCGAAAGCCGGAUUAAUACUCCGUAAUAUUAUUGGAAGGCAUCUUUUGAUAAUUAAAGUCGCAAGACGGUACGGGAUGAGCAUGCGUCUGAUUAGCUAGUUGGUAGUGUAACGGACUACCAAGGCGAUGAUCAGUAGGGGAACUGAGAGGUUGAUCCCCCACACUGGCACUGAGAUACGGGCCAGACUCCUACGGGAGGCAGCAGUAGGGAAUAUUGGUCAAUGGAUGCAAGUCUGAACCAGCCAUGCCGCGUGCAGGAAGAAGGCCUUCUGGGUUGUAAACUGCUUUUGCCGGGGGAUAAAAUUCCCAUGCGUGGGAAAUUGAAGGUACCCGGUGAAUAAGCCACGGCUAACUACGUGCCAGCCGCCGCGGUAACAC
rnacentral:rRNA from 1 species